rnacentral:misc_RNA from 1 species
GAUGAAGAACGCAGCGAAAUGCGAUAAGUAAUGUGAAUUGCAGAAUUCAGUGAAUCAUCGAAUCUUUGAACGCACAUUGCGCCCCCUGGUAUUCCGGGGGGCAUGCCUGUUCGAGCGUCAUUACAACCCUCAAGCUCUGCUUGGUAUUGGGCCCCGCCAGUUCUGGCGGGCCCUAAAGUCAGUGGCGGUGCCUUCCGGCUCCGAGCGUAGCAAUUCUUCUCGCUCUGGAGACCCGGUUGUGUGCUUGCCAACAACCCCCAAUUUUUUAAGGUUGACCUCGGAUCAGGUAGGGAUACCCGCUGAACUUAAGCAUAUCAAUAAGCGGAGGA